rnacentral:pre_miRNA from 15 species
GCUUAAAUCCUUUGUUAUGUUAUUAUAAGUAAGCGAUCUUCUAGAUGGUUGUAAAACAUCGAGUAUUACAACCACUGGAAUUUCUCUAUUACCUUUUUGGAUGGGCAAAGUUGUAGUACU